UCCCUUCCGUAGGUGAACCUGCGGAAGGAUCAUUA
rnacentral:rRNA from 1 species